GGAUGUAGCUCAGUGGAAGAGCACAUGCUUAGAAUGCAUGAUGGUCUGGAUUUGAUCCCCAGUCCA
rnacentral:tRNA from 1 species